rnacentral:rRNA from 1 species
AGGACGAACGCUGGCGGCGUGCUUAACACAUGCAAGUCGAACGAUGAACCACUUCGGUGGGGAUUAGUGGCGAACGGGUGAGUAACACGUGGGCAAUCUGCCCUGCACUCUGGGACAAGCCCUGGAAACGGGGUCUAAUACCGGAUAAUACCUGCUGAGGCAUCUCGGCGGGUUGAAAGCUCCGGCGGUGCAGGAUGAGCCCGCGGCCUAGUCAGCUUGUUGGUGGGGUGAUGGCCUACCAAGGCGACGACGGGUA